AUGUGAUCGUCUCUCGCAUAUCAAUAAGCGGAGGAAAAGAAACUAACAAGGAUUCCCCUAGUAACGGCGAGUGAAGCGGGAAGAGCUCAAAUUUGAAAUCUUAAAGGGUUUCCCUUUACGAAUUGUAGUUUAAAGAAGUGUUUUCUGUUGAGGUUUUGGUAAAAGUUCUUUGGAAUAGGACAUCAUAGAGGGCGAGAAUCCCGUAUUUGACCUUUACUUUCAACUUUGUGAUACACUUUCAAAGAGUCGGAUUGUUUGGGAAUGCAGUCCAAAAUGGGUGGUAAAUUUCAUCUAAAGCUAAAUAUUGGCGAGAGGACCGAUAGCGAACAAGUACCGUGAGGGAAAGAUGAAAAGAACUUUGAAAAGAGAGUUAAACAGUACGUGAAAUUGUCAAAAGGGAAGCGUUUGACACCAGUGUUGUUUUUCUGAAAAUCAAUUAAAGAACUGUUUAUGCUAAGCUGUUUAGACUUUAUCAGCUAUCUGCUUAGUUUUGAGCUUUUCUUUAAUGCACUUUUCAGUUAACAAGUCAACAUCAAUUUCUUUUGCUGUAAAAAAGCUUGAGGAAGGUGGCUUGAGAUUCGUCUUAAGUGUUUAUAGCCUCUUGCCUAUGCAGUCGGAGAGAUUGAGGUCUGCAGCGUAGAUCCUUCGGGGCUAAAUGCAUUUGUGCUAAGUUAUAGCAUUUUAUAGACAACUUGUUGACUAUGAUUUGUCUUGUAGCUUACUCGCUUAUGUUAUUUUACCUACGCUUAGGAUGUUGACACACGCGCGUGCUCG
rnacentral:rRNA from 1 species